UACGAACUGUGCAAACGUUAUUCGGAAUCACUGGGCUUAAAGGGUGCGUAGGCGGUCUGGAAAGUUGGGUGUGAAAUCCCUCGGCUCAACCGAGGAACUGCGCUCAAAACUGCCAGACUCGAGGGAGAUAGAGGAAAGCGGAACUGAUGGUGGAGCGGUGAAAUGCGUUGAUAUCAUCAGGAACACCGGUGGCGAAGGCGGCUCUCUGGACCGAUACUGACGCUGAGGCGCGGAAAGCGUGGGGAGCAAACAGG
rnacentral:rRNA from 1 species